rnacentral:rRNA from 1 species
UGAGUACGAGAUGCUACGGCGUCGAAGCAGUCUAUGUCAUACUUCCAAGAAAAGCUUGCACUGUCAUAAACAAAUAAUGCCUGUACCAUAACCGACACAGGUGGGUAGGUAGAGUAUACUAAGGGGCGCGAGAUAACUCUCUCUAAGGAACUCGGCAAAAUGACUCCGUAACUUCGGGAGAAGGAGUGCCUUAUUUAUAAGGUUGCAAUAACAAGACCCAAGCAACUGUUUAUCAAAAACACAGGUCUCCGCUAAGUCGUAAGACGAUGUAUGGGGGCUGACGCCUGCCCAGUGCCAGAAGGUUAAAGAAGUUGGUUAGCUUUUGCGAAGCUGAUGACUGAAGCCCUGGUGAACGGCGGCCGUAACAAUAACGGUCCUAAGGUAGCGAAAUUCCUUGUCGGGUAAGUUCCGACCCGCACGAAAGGCGUAAUGAUUUGGGUACUGUCUCAGAGAGGGACUCGGUGAAAUAGACUUGUCUGUGAAGAUGCGGACUACCUGCACCUGGACAGAAAGACCCUAUGAAGCUCUACUGUAACUUGAAAUUGAAAUUGGACUUUAUUUCGCAGUAUAGGUGGGAGGCUUUGAAGAUAUUCUUGCGGGAAUGUUGGAGCCAUCAGUGAGAUACCACUCUUGUAAUGUUAGAUUUCUAACUUUGUAUCAUUAUCUGGUCAAAGAACAGUUUCAGGCGGGCAGUUUGACCGGGGCGGUCGCCUCCUAAACGGUAACGGAGGCGCACAAAGGUUUCCUCUGAACGGGUAGAAAUCGUAUCUAGAGUGUAAAGGCAUAAGGAAGCUUGACUGUGAGACCUACAAGUCGAGCAGGGACGAAAGUCGGUCUUAGUGAUCUGACGGUGCUGAGUGGAAAGGCCGUCACUCAACGGAUAAAAGUUACUCUAGGAUAACAGGCUGAUCUCCCCCAAGAGUUCACAUCGACGGGGAGGUUUGGCACCUCGAUGUCGGCUCAUCGCAUCCUGGGGCGGUAGUACGUCCCAAGGGUUGGGCUGUUCGCCCAUGAAAGCGGUACGCGAGCUGGGUUCAGAACGUCGUGAGACAGUUCGGUCCAUAUCCGGUGUAGGCGUUAGAAUAUUGAGAGGAGCCUUCUCUAGUACGAGAGGACCGAGAAGGACAUACCUCUGGUGUACCAGUUAUCGUGCCAACGGUAAACGCUGGGUAGCUAUGUGUGGAGUGGAUAACCGCUGAAGGCAUCUAAGUGGGAAGCCCACCUCAAGAUAAGUAUUCUCAUC